AGAGUGAACGCUGGCGGUAGGCCUAACACAUGCAAGUCGAACGGCAGCACAGUAGGAGCUUGCUCUUACGGGUGGCGAGUGGCGGACGGGUGAGGAAUACAUCGGAAUCUACCUUUUGGUGGGGGAUAACGUAGGGAAACUUACGCUAAUACCGCAUACGCCCUUCGGGGGAAAGCCGGGGACCAGCAAUGGCCUGGCGCUGAUAGAUGAGCCGAUGUCGGAUUAGCUAGUUGGUGAGGUAAUGGCUCACCAAGGCGACGAUCCGUAGCUGGUCUGAGAGGAUGAUCAGCCACACUGGAACUGAGACACGGUCCAGACUCCGUACGGGAGCAGCAGG
rnacentral:rRNA from 1 species